UACGAAGGGGGCAAGCGUUGUUCGGAAUGACUGGGCGUAAAGGGCGCGUAGGCGGUUCGUUGCGUCAGAUGUGAAAGCCCCGGGCUCAACCUGGGAACUGCAUUUGAUACGGGCGGGCUUGAAUCCAAGAGAGGGUGGUGGAAAUUCCCAGUGUAGAGGUGAAAUUCGUAGAUAUUGGGAAGAACACCAGUGGCGAAGGCGGCCACCUGGCUUGGUAUUGACGCUGA
rnacentral:rRNA from 1 species